rnacentral:rRNA from 1 species
AACGAACGCUGGCGGCAUGCCUAACACAUGCAGGUCGAACGAGACCUUCGGGUCUAGUGGCGCACGGGUGCGUAACGCGUGGGAACCUGCCCUUAGGUUCGGAAUAACUCCCCGAAAGGGGUGCUAAUACCGGAUAAUGUCUUCGGACCAAAGAUUUAUCGCCUUUGGAUGGGCCCGCGUUGGAUUAGCUAGUUGGUAGGGUAAAAGCCUACCAAGGCGACGAUCCGUAGCUGGUCUGAGAGGAUGAUCAGCCACACUGGGACUGAGACACGGCCCAGACUCCUACGGGAGGCAGCAGUGGGGAAUAUUGGACAAUGGGCGAAAGCCUGAUCCAGCAAUGCCGCGUGAGUGAUGAAGGCCUUAGGGUUGUAAGGCUCUUUUACCCGGGAUGAUAAUGACAGUACCGGGAGAAUAAGCUCCGGCUAACUCCGUG